rnacentral:rRNA from 1 species
AGCGGCGGACGGGUGAGUAAUGCCUGGGAAAUUGCCCUGAUGUGGGGGAUAACCAUUGGAAACGAUGGCUAAUACCGCAUGAUGCCUACGGGCCAAAGAGGGGGACCUUCGGGCCUCUCGCGUCAGGAUAUGCCCAGGUGGGAUUAGCUAGUUGGUGAGGUAAAGGCUCACCAAGGCGACGAUCCCUAGCUGGUCUGAGAGGAUGAUCAGCCACACUGGAACUGAGACACGGUCCAGACUCCUACGGGAGGCAGCAGUGGGGAAUAUUGCACAAUGGGCGCAAGCCUGAUGCAGCCAUGCCGCGUGUGUGAAGAAGGCCUUCGGGUUGUAAAGCACUUUCAGCAGUGAGGAAGGGUGUGUAUUUAAUAGAUGCACAUUUUGACGUUAGCUGCAGAAGAAGCACCGGCUAACUCCGUGCCAGCAGCCGCGGUAAUACGGAGGGUGCGAGCGUUAAUCGGAAUUACUUGGCGUAAAGCGCAUGCAGGUGGUUUGUUAAGUCAGAUGUGAAAGCCCGGGGCUCAACCUCGGAACAGCAUUUGAAACUGGCAGG